rnacentral:rRNA from 1 species
CCUACGGGGCGCAGCAGUGAGGAAUAUUGGUCAAUGGACGAGAGUCUGAACCAGCCAAGUAGCGUGAAGGAUGACUGCCCUAUGGGUUGUAAACUUCUUUUAUAAAGGAAUAAAACGAGGCACGUCUGCCUUUUUGCACGUACUUUAUGAAUAAGGAUCGGCGAACUCCGUGCCAGCAGCCGCGGUAAUACGGAGGAUCCGAGCGUUAUCCGGAUUUAUUGGGUUUAAAGGGAGCGUAGAUGGGUUGUUAAGUCAGUUGUGAAAGUUUGCGGCUCAACCGUAAAAUUGCAAUUGAUACUGGCAGUCUUGAGUACAGUUGAGGUAGGCGGAAUUCGUGGUGUAGCGGUGAAAUGCGUAGAUAUCACGAAGAACUCCGAUGGCGAAGGCAGCUUACUAAACUGCCACUGACAUUGAUGCUCGAAAGUGUGGGUAGCAAACAGGAUUAGAUACCCCUGUAGUC